AUUUUUCUCUCUAGCACUCCCUACAGUCUCCUAUACUAUCUAAUUUAUUUAUAUAUCUGGGCUUGGCUAGCUUCUCAGUUAUGAGCUCCACAAAGGCAGGGAGGGAUGUUUGUCUGUUUUGCUCACAGCUGUAUUUCCAGCACACAGAGCAGCACCUGGCACCUAGCAAGCACUCAGUAAAUAUUUGUUUAAUGAAUGAAUAAAAAACAGGGCUAAUAAUACCUAUACUUCACAGAUGAAAUGAGAUAAGCAUGCAAAGUUCGUGGAGCACCACAUUGCUCAAUAACUGUCCAUUCCCUACUUCCUCCCACUUUUGGUAUCAGCCGUGCCCUCCUUCUCCCAGAGGGAGUGCCAGGUCAGAGGCAGGGUUGAUGGUAGUGCCUGACUUACCAAUAACUGCCAACAGCACCCCCAGGACUCCCUCAGCCCCGGGCCAGGAUGGGUCCUGCUUUCAGACGCUGAUUCCUCUGGUUAGAGGCACGCUCCCUGGGAGCAGUCCACACGCACCGAUCCUCACCUGGUGAUUCAGCUGGAGGUCAGCUGGCUUCCACCCCCACACCGCAGAGACACUGCUCUCACCAAGGCCGUCUCCACCUCUAGGUCCAAACUCUGAGGUCCCGUCUGCCUUGCCUCCUCACAGCCCUCUCAGCAUAUAUCCUGACAGCAGACCCGACUAGCAAAGGCCGACUGUUCUCACCCUGCUUUAAGACCCUCUGGGGAAGCCCUAUUCUGCUUUGUCCCAGGUCCCUGAGCGCUGACUCCCCCUCCCCAGGCAUUUGUAAGCACUCUGGUUUUCAAUAAAUGUUUAUGAAUUGUCAUCAGCUUACUCUUA